rnacentral:rRNA from 1 species
CACGUAGGUGGCUCUUUAAGUCAGAUGUGAAAGCCCCGGGCUUAACCUGGGAAAGUCAUCUGAUACUGGAGGGCUAGAGUACAGUAGAGGGUAGUGGAAUUUCAGGUGUAGCGGUGAAAUGCGUAGAUAUCUGAAGGAACAUCAGUAGCGAAGGCGGCUACCUGGACUGAUACUGACACUGAGGUGCGAAAGCGUGGGGAGCAAACA